UACGUAGGGUGCGAGCGUUGUCCGGAAUUAUUGGGCGUAAAGGGCUCGUAGGCGGUCUGUCACGUCGGGAGUGAAAACUCAGGGCUUAACCCUGAGCCUGCUUCCGAUACGGGCAGACUAGAGGUAUGCAGGGGAGAACGGAAUUCCUGGUGUAGCGGUGAAAUGCGCAGAUAUCAGGAGGAACACCGAUGGCGAAGGCAGGUCUCUGGGCCACUACUGACGCUGAGAAGCGAAAGCAUGGGGAGCGAACAGG
rnacentral:rRNA from 1 species